GAAUCUCCAAGAACAAAAUUUCCCUCUACCAAUCUACCAAGUCCUUAUCCAGCACAAUAAAAGUCCGCUUGAGGGGAUCUUGGGAUCCAGGAGAGCUGCAUCUGGUAUUCCUCUUCGAGAGAGAGGGGCUCCGACCCAGUGGCUUGGAGCAGAGCCGGGUCUUGCAUCCAGUGGUGGUACUUGGGGACGUGAGCCGCCAUGUAUGGUACAAGAAUUACCUUCUCUCCUGCCAAGCUCACUGCCAUUUUUCCAAGCUUCGCUAUUCAAGAGAUACAACUCGCCUUCUCCCC
rnacentral:misc_RNA from 1 species